rnacentral:rRNA from 1 species
GGUACACGCUGUGACUAGCAUAUCAAUAAGCGGAGGAAAAGAAACUAACAAGGAUUCCCCUAGUAACGGCGAGUGAAGCGGGAAGAGCUCAAAUUUGAAAUCUUAAAGGGUUUCCCUUUACGAAUUGUAGUUUAAAGAAGUGUUUUCUGUUGAGGUUUUGGUAAAAGUUCUUUGGAAUAGGACAUCAUAGAGGGUGAGAAUCCCGUAUUUGACCUUUACUUUCAACUUUGUGAUACACUUUCAAAGAGUCGGAUUGUUUGGGAAUGCAGGUCCAAAAUGGGUGGUAAAUUUCAUCUAAAGCUAAAUAUUGGCGAGAGACCGAUAGCGAACAAGUACCGUGAGGGAAAGAUGAAAAGAACUUUGAAAAGAGAGUUAAACAGUACGUGAAAUUGUCAAAAGGGAAGCGUUUGACACCAGUGUUGUUUUUCUGAAAAUCAAUUAAAGAACUGUUUAUGCUAAGUUGUUUAGACUUUAUCAGCUAACUGUUUAGUUUUGAGCUUUUCUUUAAUGCACCUUUCAGUUAACAAGUCAACAUCAAUUUCUUUUGCUGUAAAAAAGCUUGAGGAAGGUGGCUUGAGAUUCGUCUUAAGUGUUUAUAGCCUCUUGCCUAUGCAGUCGGAGAGAUUGAGGUCUGCAGCGUAGAUCCUUCGGGGCUAAAUGCAUUUGUGCUAAGUUAUAUGCAUUUCAUAGACAACUUGUUGACUAUGAUUUGUCUUGUAGCUUACUCGCUUAUGUUAUUUUACCUACGCUUAGGAUGUUGACAGCAGUAUAGACUGU